rnacentral:rRNA from 1 species
AUCUUCGGCAAUGGACGCAAGUCUGACCGAGCAACGCCGCGUGAGUGAAGAAGGUUUUCGGAUCGUAAAACUCUGUUGUUAGAGAAGAACAAGGAUGAGAGUGGAAAGUUCAUCCCUUGACGGUAUCUACCCAGAAAGCCACGGCUAACUACGUGCCAGCAGCCGCGGUAAUACGUAGGUGGCAAGCGUUGUCCGGAUUUAUUGGGCGUAAAGCGAGCGCAGGCGGUCUUUUAAGUCUGAUGUGAAAGCCCCCGGCUUAACCGGGGAGGGUCAUUGGAAACUGGGAGACUUGAGUGCAGAAGAGGAAAGCGGAAUUCCAUGUGUAGCGGUGAAAUGCGUAGAUAUAUGGAGGAACACCAGUGGCGAAGGCGGCUUUCUGGUCUGUAACUGACGCUGAGGCUCGAAAGCGUGGGGAGCAAACAG